UUACUUCAAUGAUAAGAAUUUCCGUGGUAGGGAUGCUUUUAAGAGUUUCCUGGCCGAGAAUCAUAGUGCAUUUGAAGAACUUCAAAUGAAACACAGGGAGAAGCUUCUUGAUGAUACCGAGGUGGAAAAGGUACAAGAUUCAGAUGUGACUAGUGAUGUCAAAGAAGAAAUUACAACAACACUCGAGUCUACCGAUGAAGAAUCCUCAGCUGCUGUCGAAGCUUGAUCUUAUGAAUUAUGGCGCACUCGAGCAACCAUGUCGACCAAUGUGAUUUAUGUAUGAUGUAGCUUGACGAAUCGGAAGCAAAAAAUGUUCAACUCAAAUCAACAAGGCUCAUAGAAAUGAUGUAUAUGCCUAAAAUCCUUGUCGGUUGGUUUGGGAUCACAUCAUUCUUGGGGUCAAACAUUUGAUUAUCUAUGGAGGAUGAUAUGAACUCAUACCGUGCCCCUUGGGAACUACCAGGGGAGCUGUUGGUGGUCUGGAAUCAAGGUGCUUCCACCUCUAUACUGGGGAUCCUAUCUUUGAUUAUCUAUCAUAAAUAUCAAAAAGGGUGUUUUUGUAGUUUCAUCUUUUUGUGAUUACAACCUUUAGCUCAGUUCAGUUGAACAAUAGAUGAAAAUAAUGUAAUGUUGCUGCUCUAUGUUGAGCUUCCUUAUCUGACUCUGACUUAUGAAAA